CCUACGGGAGGCAGCAGUGGGGAAUCUUGCGCAAUGGGCGAAAGCCUGACGCAGCGACGCCGCGUGCGGGAAGAAGGCCUUCGGGUUGUAAACCGCUUUCAGGAGGGACGAAGCCACUCGGGUUAAUAGCCCAGAGGGUGAUGGUACCUCCAGAAGAAGCCCCGGCUAACUACGUGCCAGCAGCCGCGGUAAU
rnacentral:rRNA from 1 species